AAACCUUAUAUAAUUUUUUUUUAUUAUAUAUAUCCUAAAGUUUAUAUAUCUGGUUUAGAGUUAAAGUAUUUUGUGUGUUGUGACAGUUGAAAAAUUGUUGGCAAUGGAUGAGGUUCUAAAGGUGAAGAAUGGAUCAGGAGAUACGGACAAAGAUGAGACGGGAUAGUGUGUGUCUAAUUCACAAGCAACUUGACAUAUAAAUCCAAGAGAUGAUGAAAGUGGAAGCAAUAAACCUAAUGGUAACGUUCAAGCCCAAUCUUGCUUGGACAUUUCUAUGGUAGGUAGAGCCCAUUAACCUCUCUGGCUCUCUUUAGUCUUUACUAUUGUGUUUGACUUUUGAUGAUGGUUAUACUGUGAUUUGUGAACCGAAUGCUAGUGGUGUCUAUUGUAUAAGGAAGAAGAAUGGGACUGAAGGUAGAAGUAGGCAAAUAGCAUUACAGGGAAUCUCUAGUCAUUGUUUUGUAUUUUGGAUACAAGGAGAGACAAGUCUUUUGAAAUAAAUAGCCAAAGUGAUCAAUCACAAGAAUAUCAAUAGGUUUAUAAUCCAUUUGCAUAGCUCUGUGUUGUUGCUGUUCUCUGGUAUGUUGGUUCUUGUUUGUUUGCCUCUCUAUAACUUGGGCAAAUGGCGUGGAGUUUCCCACUCGGUGAUAAUGUGGUUGCGAGUGAUCUCACUGAGAGACCUGCACCCACUUAACGCCAUGGUUAGC